UACGUAGGGCGCAAGCGUUGUCCGGAAUUAUUGGGCGUAAAGAGCUCGUAGGCGGCUUGUCGCGUCUGUUGUGAAAGCCCGGGGCUUAACCCCGGGUCUGCAGUGGAUACGGGCAGGCUAGAGGCAGGUAGGGAGAACGGGAAUUCCCGGUGUAGCGGUGAAAUGCGCAGAUAUCGGGAGGAACACCGGUGGCGAAGGCGGGUCUCUGGGCCGAUACUGACGCUGAGGAGCGAAAGCGUGGGAGCGAACAGG
rnacentral:rRNA from 1 species